AUGGAUUUACCUGGACCAAUACAUGAGAUUCUUAUGCUAUUUGGGGGAUUUGUUCUUCUACUAGGGGGUCUAGGAGUAGUAUUACUUACCAACCCCAUUUAUUCUGCCUUUUCGCUGGGAUUAGUUCUUGUUUGUAUAUCCUUAUUCUAUUUUUUUAUUAAAUUCCUACUUUGUAGCUGUCGCACAACUUCUUAUUUAUGUGGGAGCCAUAAAUGUCUUGAUCAUAUUCGCUGUAAUGUUCGUAAAUGGCUCAGAAUGGUCUAA
rnacentral:rRNA from 1 species